ensembl:snRNA U6 U6 spliceosomal RNA
GUACUCUCGCUUCAGCAGCACAUACAUUAAAAUUGGACUGAGACACGGAAGGUUAGCAUGGCCCCUGCGCAAGGAUGACAAGCAAACUCGUUAAGUUUUAAAAUCUAAU